UUUAUGCAAUUAACCACCUGCUCCCGCCCCGUUGGUGGUUUGGUGUUAAUGCGAUUUGACCCAAACGUGAAGCAGGGCGGGAAUAAACCCUCCGUUGGGACCCCUGGUGGUUUCACCCUCCGGCCUCAGCCUCUGGCCGGGGCCGCGAGUAUGAGAAUCACAAUUUUGUUUCCCGCCGGGCGGAGGCCUGGGAGGUGCUCAAAAGCUGCCGGGGCGUCGGGGGUAGGAGGCGAUGUCUUUUCGAAAGCUCCCUGCAGUCUCAGGACCGUGAGGUUUUGGUGUGGUUUCCCUUUUGCAGUCAACAGAGUUGUAACCUCUCUUGUGAUGACUGUCCCCUAUUGUUGCUGAAGUUCUUCAAUGGCUGUUUCAGGUUCCUCACAAACCAAAUUCCAUCAUGUCUGUACAUGCAGCUGGGCCCUGCAAAUGAAACCUCAGGGAAGCUGAAGUAGACAGAAGGUAACCAGAACGCUAUGAAGUGUCCAGCUUCCAGUCCACAUUCCUUUUAACACCUUCUGAAAAGCCUGAAAACAAACAGUAUUGAGAAUCUGCAUUAUGGGAGUUCUGAAUUAUCCAGAUAACUUCUACUUUAUUUGGCAUUUUCUAAAAUAGAUAAACAGAAAAUCCACAACCACUUUGGCUCUGCUUCUCAUAAGCUUUUACGAAAUAUAAAUUAUAGGCCAUAUCUACAAUAGAAAGUAUCUUCAAGUAAUAUUUUCCAGAACAUUUUAACUCUUUAGAUUAUCCAUAUAUUCUCUUUCAGAGUGUGGAUAGGCUUCAAAAUCUAAGAAAAGAUCAUGAAAAACAUUAUUCUAGAUUACCACACAUUUUCCCUGUAUUAACUUUUCCCUCUCUCUCUUCAGGAAUUGUAACUAUUUGAGAGCUUUCCCAGAUUCACACCAAUUCCCUAACGGAGUCAGCCAUACAUAAUCUAAAGGAUGAAAAAGAUGGCAAAACUACUUCCCCAUUCAAAAUCUAAUACAGAUAAGCCCCUGAUGAGCAACUUGAACAACAACAUCUCAGGAGUUCACCUCAGUGGUGGUUGUCAACACUUAAGUCAAUUCAAGAGACUUUUUCAGCACCUUUAGAGCAAAAAGUCAUCUUGGAAAGAUUAUAAACAUGCACAGUCACUAAGUGUAGCCACUGUUACUGAAAUCCAAGUCAAACAAAAGCAGCUGAGCCUAGUCAACAGGAGAUAGCA